rnacentral:tRNA from 1 species
GUCGGAGCCGGAGCGACGAUCCGCUCCGCCUACGGCGCGGUGCGGGUGCGGGAGGCCGCGCGCGGCGUCGUGCAGGUCGACGGCUCCUACG